rnacentral:rRNA from 1 species
UUGGAAGGCAGUCUGGUGCCAGCAGCCGCGGUAAUCCCAGCUCCAAUAGCGUAUAUUAAAGUUGUUGCAGUUAAAAAGCUCGUAGUUGAUUUCGGGAUCAGAUUGUCGGUCGUGCCUCGGUACGCACUGGCAUUAUUGGUUCCUACCUUCUGAAGAACCGCGAUGUCAUUAAUUUGGUGUCGUGGGGAAUCAGGACUGUUACUUUGAAAAAAUUAGAGUGUUUAAAGCAGGCUUACGCUUGAAUACAUUAGCAUGGAAUAACGAAAUAGGACGUUUGAUUCUAUUUUGUUGGUUUCUAGGAUUGACGUAAUGAUUAAUAGGGAUAGUUGGGGGCAUUAGUAUUCAAUUGUCAGAGGUGAAAUUCUUGGAUUUAUUGAAGACUAACUACUGCGAAAGCAUUUGCCAAGGAUGUUUUCAUUAAUCAAGAACGAAAGUUAGGGGAUCGAAGACGAUCAGAUACCGUCGUAGUCUUAACCAUAAACUAUGCCGACUAGGGAUCGGAUGAUGUUAAUUUUUUAAUGACUCAUUCGGCGCCUUACGGGAAAC